UUGAAAAAAAGUCAUUUGGAUAAGGAAGAAGACAGGUUCAAACGGGGAUCAUGAAAAAGCUUGGAAUCUGUCCAGAGAAAGAUGCAGUAGAAGAAAAUCCAGAGUAAAGAAAACAAGAGUUACAAACAGAAGCAAAAGGAAAGUAUUUUAUUCAAGAAAUGGAACUGAAGUCUUCUUCUGUGCUAAGAACAGUCUGUCUUGAUAUUUAAAAUAAGAGAUAUUCUGGGUCAAUGGACAGAGAACUUGUCUUGGAGUCAAAAUACCUGGUUUCAAGUAGUGCCUCUAAUCCAUACUGGCUUGGUGAUUCUCCACCCUGAUCCUCCUCCAUGAAGGAUGGCUCUCUGGGAGGGAGUGGAAGAUGUGAAAUGUAAAUGAUGAGACCACAAAAAAUACCAAUAAACAUUAAAAAAAACCUCAUGUGCUGUCACCAUAUAUAGCAGCAAAGAUAUGGAAACCUACUAGAUU